rnacentral:tRNA from 1 species
GGAAAGGUAACUCAGGAGUAGAGUGUCGGUGUGAAGUACCGAAGGUCGGGAGUGCGAAUCUCUCUCUUUCCACCA